AGUGAACGCUGGCGGUAGGCCUAACACAUGCAAGUCGAACGGCAGCACAGUAAGAGCUUGCUCUUACGGGUGGCGAGUGGCGGACGGGUGAGGAAUACAUCGGAAUCUACUUUUUCGUGGGGGAUAACGUAGGGAAACUUACGCUAAUACCGCAUACGACCUACGGGUGAAAGCAUGGGAUCUUCGGACCUUGCGCGAUUGAAUGAGCCGAUGUCGGAUUAGCUAGUUGGCGGGGUAAAGGCCCACCAAGGCGACGAUCCGUAGCUGGUCUGAGAGGAUGAUCAGCCACACUGGAACUGAGACACGGUCCAGACUCCUACGGGAGGCAGCAGUGGGGAAUAUUGGACAAUGGGCGCAAGCCUGAUCCAGCCAUACCGCGUGUGUGAAGAAGGCCUUCGGGUUGUAAAGCACUUUUGUUGGGAAAGAAAAGCAGCAGGAUAAUACCCCGCUGUUCUGACGGUACCCAAAGAAUAAGCACCGGCUAACUUCGUG
rnacentral:rRNA from 1 species